UAUUAAAACUGAGUUGAGAUCGGGGUGAGAAGUGACGUAGCUGUCCCUGCUUUUAUUGACGUUGUCGUUUGGUAAAUCUCUGAUGUGGUCGACUUUUGCGAGAUAUAGGUGUGUAGGAGCGAUCGAGAGAGAAGCUCGAAGCUUCUGAUCUCUCAUCGUUGCAGGAAGAAAGAGAAAGAUAGAACCAAGGUUUUCUUUGCGAUUGGGUUGCGUAUCAAAAUGCCGCAUUUGACUACAAAAUUCAGGCCAUCGCGCGGGAACUUACUUUAUGAGUUCCGAUGUUAGUGGUAUGGCUGCAAUCUGAAAGAAGAUAUACUGGUGACAUUGUGGGAGGUAUUUCACGCAGUCUUGAUAUUGAGGCUAUCAGGACUACACCGCCACCUACGCUCGCAGUUUUCACGAGCCUCAAAUUGAAACAAUAUCAAAACAAAGUUUCACUGUCAAGCACAUGAAGCACUUUUUACAUCCUCAAUCCUGACAUUCCAGGGGCUGGAGCUUACAAACAAGUUGAAGUUCGCUGUCCUUAUAAUACUGUCAAUAUCCUGUCACCUCUGCCCAACCCACUCAUGAGUCCUGAGGAGUACGUUGGAAGCUAUGGAGAAAAAGACUGUCGGAAUUAAACAUCUUUAAUCCCACUUAUAUAUGGUAGUUUUCUGGGAGUAUAUGUUUAAACACUAUGCGUGUGAUUAACUGUGAGUUCUUAAGUAGUUGCGAAAUGGUGAGACACAACUUUAGUAGAACAGUUUCCCGUGUCUAAUUGAAAAAUUGUAAGAAGCAUGAUGCUUCUCAAUAAGUAGAAGAAUUUGACUGCUAUGCAGCAGGCUGUGGUUAUCAUGACAGGUAUUAGCGUACUGGGUUGUAGUGACAUAUAGUCCACCACCUUCUUUAAUGAUGAG